CCUUCCGUAGGGGGGAACUGCGGAAGGAUCAUUA
rnacentral:rRNA from 1 species